GCUGGCCUCGAACUCACUAUAGAGACCCUCCUGUAUCAGCCUCUCAAGUCCUGGGAUUGCAGGCGUGCGCCACCAUCAAGCCCACUUCUAACCAGACCCUUCUACAUCUGUGUUCUGCUGUGGGAACAAGUUACUGAAAGCACAUGUGUUGCCCUGAUUGCCGUCCGGAGCUCCAGUAUGGAGGAUUAGUGGCUGACCGGCCGCACCAAAGCUGCCUGGGAAAUCCCGGUCCUCGCGCCUGGAGGACUGAGACCUGGCCUCCCUGGUUAGCUCCUUGAGGCCACUUCUGUGCUUGCACGCAGCCACCUGCUCUCAGAAGCAGCAGUGGUUCAUCAAAUCCCUCUCGCUCAGGAUUCCUCUAACACCUUCCCAGCACACACGCAUACACAGCCAAAGAGUUGUGAAGCUGGGGUUCGAAUCCCUAUGCCCCAGGGCCCACGGGGAAGGGCCAGUCACCGCAGGUGUGGAUGAGCUGAUUCCUCAGCCUUUUUACCAACAGCCAAGGAAUGUGGGAAAGACGGAGUUUAUUCGGAUCAGAGUACAGAUCCAGAGGGAUGGCGCAGAGUGGGAACAAUUUAUUGAGAAAAAGCUUCUGUCUAAGAGAGGCAGAAGGGGGACAGCAAAGUACAUUGGCUGGGUCGGACACUGUCAAGGCCAACUGGCAAGGCCUUUCACUCGGGCCUCACAAAAGGCUCCUCAGACUCAGUUAACAUCAGUGCUGUGCCUCGCGACCGCCCUAGUGCCGGGCCAGGGCUGCGUCACCAGAGCAAUGCCGAGACCUAACCCUUUUGUCAACAAACCUGCCUCAAUCUUCUGACGGAGCCAGCGGUCACUAGUCGAACAGUACCUGAGGAGAGGGGUGAGGAUUAAGAAAAACAACACAAAUUCGGGAGAAAAGAAAAGCAGAGGAGAGAGCAAGGGCCUUCUCCUUCCCACUUUAUUGAGCCUUUUAUAUAUCCUCCUUCAUUACCCACAGCCUCCCUCCCUUCCUCCCCUCAUGAUCUCGUGACUAAUUAUUUUUACAGAGAAAAGGUCAAAUAUAUCUUUACAAUUCCGGGAAUGUUACUUUCUCGUCCAGCAGACAUUCAAAUCCUUUCUAUAUUCGUUGUUUUCUUUAAAAGUCAACAUCCUUGUUUUUGUACCAGUUUCAUAUCCUGGCUCAUUAUGUUCUUAUCUGACUCAAGAAUCUCAAGGGGUUUAGGAGUCUUUCCAGGGUAGUUUCAACCCUUCGCUCUCCACAAUCUUCCCUGCACCCAACUUCACUAUUCACUACCGACAGGGCCACUGCAGGGGGGGAGGCGAUAGCCACCUCCCAGCUGUUCCCUGAUUUGCAAAAGACUACCAGCCAGCUUCCCUUCCUGCUGGGAGGCCAGCACCAAAUCCCGGUUCUAACUCCCACUCGCGACCCUCAGCUAGUUCAAAGUUAGGGAGCCGCGGUGUCAAGCCCCGCACCCCAGCCUCGGGACCCUCAGCAUGGGGAAGGGAGGGGACACGAGCGCGCCACCACGCCUGCGCGACCCCGAGCCCGCUCCACGAGGGGCGUGGCGGUAAAGAAAGGGACGUGACUGCGAGGGUCUGACCUAUCAGAAGAGGCGCUGGAGCCCUGCGGGCGUGGCCUUCGCGGUUUCCCCGGAAACGCCCGGAGCGUGAAGUUGCGUAGAGACCGAGCAGAGCCUAGAAGAAAGCAGGGAAGGACGCAGGCGGAACGAGGCGGGGACAGAGGGAGGCGGCAGAGUCGCGGCCAGUAUAGGGACAAGGGGCUGGCGGUUUCUCCUUUCCCUGCGUAGUUCAGGAGAGCAUGAUCUGCGGUGGAGCCCGGGUCUAAAGUUUGGAAGUUCAUCCUCGUGCUUUGCCAUCUUUUUGUGCGUCCUGGAAUUUGAGGACAGAGGUCUACAGGUGAGGAGAUGGCUGUGUCUGUUGAAUCAGGAACCCAGAUUCCAGUCGCAGGUGUGACUGGCUCCUUUAGGUAAAACUGGGGAUCCUGGGAGAUUCUUGGCCCCCAGUGGUGGGGAGGGAGUGGGGCUCUGAAGUGCACUGGUCCAAAGGAGGAAGCUGGGUUUUAAGGAACUGGCUAUGUAACUGGUGGGUGACAGAACGAGGAUGAGUUCCAGGGGCCGGCAUUCGAUGACGGGGAAAGUUCUUUCCCUACUGCAAGGCUCCAAGAGCCCAG
rnacentral:lncRNA from 1 species